rnacentral:rRNA from 1 species
GACGAACGCUGGCGGCGUGCUUAACACAUGCAAGUCGAACGGAAAGGCCCCUUUGGGGGUACUCGAGUGGCGAACGGGUGAGUAACACGUGAGUAACCUGCCCUUGACUUCGGGAUAACUUCAGGAAACUGGGGCUAAUACCGGAUAGGAAUCCUUGCUGCAUGGUGGGGGUUGGAAAGCUUCGGCGGUUUUGGAUGGACUCGCGGCGUAUCAGCUUGUUGGUGGGGUAGUGGCUUACCAAGGCUUUGACGGGUAGCCGGCCUGAGAGGGCGACCGGCCACAUUGGGACUGAGAUACGGCCCAGACUCCUACGGGAGGAAGCAGUGGGGAAUAUUGCACAAUGGGCAGAAGCCUGAUGCAGAAACGCCGCGUGCGGGAUGACGGCCUUCGGGUUGUAAACCGCUUUCAGCAGGGGCGAAGCUUGUGGUGACGGUACCUGAAGAAGAAGCACCGGCUAACUACGUG